UAAGGGUGACACAGUUCAUUCCUCACAUGCUGUUGCUACUAAUCAAGCGGCAAUCUCCAAGCAAUGCUGAUGGCUACCUGUGCAAUCCCAUUAAGCCAUGACCAUAGUCCCUGUUGAGGGGGAAGACUCCCCCAUAUAUACUACUGGUCCUGAUUAUGUCAUGGGGCCUUAGGUGGUCGUGGAAGAAACAGAUUACGUUAUUCAAGCCAGCAGCAGCAGCACAUGCUCACCCCGCUAUCCAGCCAACAUUCCUCAACUCUGACCUGAGGACCACCUCUGGAGAUAAGAGUCCCUUCUUAUCAAUGCUGGUUGUUAUGCAGCUUGAAAGUCACGUGAGAGCUUCAGGUU